rnacentral:misc_RNA from 1 species
GAUAAUUUUUUGUAACUUAUCCAUUGUGUUUUAUAACUUUCUAUGUAUAUGACUCGCAGAGAAUAAAGUCCCCCUUGAGAAAUCAUGCCAUUUGCUUGUUUUCACCGGUGCUAAGGUGUUCGAAUCCAGUAUUGAGUACUGCGUGGCCAGCAGUACAUCGAAGACUUUGAUAACAUAAUAUAUUUAUUUUUAUAUCUCUUCUAUUGCCAAAUGAUGUUUUGUAUGUAUACAAUUAAGUCUUCCACUUUAUAUUUGAUAUUCAAAUGAACUCUAUAUGGGAGGAAUCAAUCAUCGGCUUUUUGAUAUUUAUCCUUUACGAAGACGCAAUCGAACAAAAAAAAAAUUCUAUGCAUUUAUUAUCAUAUAUCAUUUAUUAAUUUAUGUAUAUUUUGAUACUGUUGUAUAUAUUUGUAAAAAAAUAAAAUAAUCUUUUCCCAGAAG